UACGUAGGGGGCUAGCGUUGUCCGGAAUCAUUGGGCGUAAAGCGCGUGUAGGCGGCCCGCUAAGUCCGCUGUGAAAGUCGGGGGCUCAACCCUCGGAUGCCGGUGGAUACUGUCGGGCUCGAGUACGGAAGAGGCGAGUGGAAUUCCCGGUGUAGCGGUGAAGUGCGCAGAUAUCGGGAAGAACACCCGUGGCGAAGGCGGCUCUCUGGGACGGUACUGACGCUGAGACGCGAAAAGCGUGGGGAGCGAACGAGG
rnacentral:rRNA from 1 species